CCUGCCUCAUACAGGGGGAUAACAGUUAGAAAUGACUGCUAAUACCGCAUAAGCGCACAGUACCGCAUGGUACGGUGUGAAAAACUCCGGUGGUAUGAGAUGGACCCGCGUCUGAUUAGCUUGUUGGCAGGGUAACGGCCUACCAAGGCGACGAUCAGUAGCCGACCUGAGAGGGUGACCGGCCACAUUGGGACUGAGACACGGCCCAAACUCCUACGGGAGGCAGCAGUGGGGAAUAUUGCACAAUGGGGGAAAGCCUGACGGAGCGACGCCGCGUGGGUGGAGAAGGUCUUCGGAUCGUAAAGCCCUGUCUAGGGGGACGAUAAUGACGGUACCCCUGGAGGAAGCCCCGGCUAACUACGUGCCAGCAGCCGCGGUAAUACGUAGGGGGCGAGCGUUGUCCGGAAUUACUGGGCGUAAAGGGCGUGUAGGCGGUUUGUCAAGUCAGGUGUGAAAUCUUAAGGCUCAACCUUAAAACUGCGCCUGAAACUGGCAGGCUUGAGGGCAGGAGAGGAGAGCGGAAUUCCCAGUGUAGCGGUGAAAUGCGUAAAUAUUGGGAGGAACACCAAUGGCGAAGGCGGCUCUCUGGACUGUACCUGACGCUGAGGCGCGAAAGCGUGGGGAGCAAACAGGAUUAAAUACCCUGGUAGUCCACGCUGUAAACGAUGGGUGCUA
rnacentral:rRNA from 1 species